rnacentral:rRNA from 1 species
UACAGAGGGUGCAAGCGUUAAUCGGAAUUACUGGGCGUAAAGCGCGCGUAGGUGGUUUGUUAAGUUGGAUGUGAAAUCCCCGGGCUCAACCUGGGAACUGCAUUCAAAACUGACAAGCUAGAGUAUGGUAGAGGGUGGUGGAAUUUCCUGUGUAGCGGUGAAAUGCGUAGAUAUAGGAAGGAACACCAGUGGCGAAGGCGACCACCUGGACUGAUACUGACACUGAGGUGACGAAAGCGUGGGGAGCAAACAGG